AGCUUGCUCUCCGGGUGACGAGUGGCGGACGGGUGAGUAAUGUCUGGGAAACUGCCCGAUAGAGGGGGAUAACUACUGGAAACGGUAGCUAAUACCGCAUAACCUCGCAAGAGCAAAGUGGGGGACCUUCGGGCCUCACGCUAUCGGAUGUGCCCAGAUGGGAUUAGCUAGUAGGUGGGGUAACGGCUCACCUAGGCGACGAUCCCUAGCUGGUCUGAGAGGAUGACCAGCCACACUGGAACUGAGACACGGUCCAGACUCCUACGGGAGGCAGCAGUGGGGAAUAUUGCACAAUGGGCGCAAGCCUGAUGCACCAUGCCGCGUGUAUGAAGAAGGCCUUCGGGUUGUAAAGUACUUUCAGCGGGGA
rnacentral:rRNA from 1 species